ACACCCGCUGUCCUUGGGAAGUUUAUUCAGUGCCUUCACCAUUUACUGAUGAACAUGAUGGCAUACUGAAGAGUCUAAUUCAGAAAGAGAAUGCAGAGUUUAGAGAAACCAGAGAGUGACUGAAGAAAGCUGACCUUCAGUCUCAAUGUAAAACGUCCAGAAAGAAAUGGUCAAGAGAAUCAUGUAAUGAGUUCUGUGCAAGAAAAGGGAAUCUUCCUGGAGGAAGUGGGCUUGUGCUGAAUCUUCCAGUAAUGGGGAACAGAAAGCUGUAGUCUCUGGGAACCAACAGAACUUCCCUGCUUGUCAUGCCUCUUGAAAUUCUAGGAUUCCAGGAUAUUAAUUGUUCUGGCUCAGAAGUCGGGAACUGGUCCCAUCAUCGACAAUUUGUUUUUGAAGACAGGAGAAACAUCUUCACAGACUCUGGAGGGUACACACCUGUGGAGUAGACACCAGGGAAAUUCUUAGACAGCUAUUUUGGCAAGCCUCCUGAGAGAGCUCAUGCAGCUCCACCUCCCAUCAUCUACACAGCCUGCCGCUACUGACAUAGGGUCAGCAUAGGUUGGCCAAGAGGAAAAUGUCAGAGACCCCCAGACACAGAAAGAGCAGUUGGGCAGCAGACCUCCUGCAGACAGAUCAGACUACCACCAUCCUCCAUGAGACCCUGUAACCAAGCCCCACCUCUCCCCAUCCCACCCAUCCCUGAGACAGAGAUGGCCAAGACCCGAUUGGACUAAGAGGUGAGUCUUUAUCCUCAGUCCUGAACACCCCAGCCCCUAGGCUUUGGGCCCAGGGACAUAACUCUGCAUGCCUACACCACUACCCAUUGCAGUCCCAGUUUCGGGCCAGUCGGCAGGCAGACCUACUGCAGGCAGUUCAGACUACCACCAUCCCCCACCAGAUCUUGUAACUCACAAGUUCCACCCCUCCCAACCCACCUGUGUGCCAAGAUUACAACUACUCCCUGAGACAGAGCCCACAAGGGCCAAUUGGACUAAGAGCUUCUCCCUGAGACAAACAGUCCAUCAGAAUCCAAUAGACCAUGAGCUCCCACUGGACCAAGAUUACUGAUCCAACUGAGAGAGCCUCCCUCAGACACAGACACUGCUUGCACCAAGUGGAGAAAGAGAUGGAUAGAGGCCAGUGCAAAAGUACAGUCAACAACAAAAAACACACCAUGGUUCCAUCAGAACCUACACCAGAAAGACCUGAACAUCCCAACACAGAGGAAACAGAAGAAAUCGACCUUAAAAAUAACCUUAAGAAGAUGUUAGAGAUCUUUAAAGAGGAAAUGAAAAAUUCCCUUAAAGAAUUAGAGGAAAAGUCAAACAAAAAAUGGGAAGCAAUCAGUAAAUCCCUUGAAAGCCAAGAGAAAGCAAUUAAAUAUUUGAGGGAAACAGCUCAAGAUUUGAAAUCCGAUUUCUCAUUUUCAAUAUGUAUAUUUUGCAUAUAGACAUUUAUUAGGUGAGAAUUUUUGUUUUAUUUAAUUUCUUGCAUUCAAUAUGUAUAUUUUGGUUAUUAAAUCUUCACCAGAUGAGAAUUUUUGU